CAGCAAACCUCCCCUUCUUAACACUGCGUCGAUGCGAUUUCGUCGUCUAUCUUAUGCGGUCCGGUCGUUGUGAUUUUAUUUAAAUUUUCCGAAUCGCUUAUUGGGCUUCUUUUAUUUGAGAAGUGCGUAAUGAUAGCGUUAACUGUAGUAUAACAGGUUUAAUAGCAGCAGUGUAGUGUGAAAAUAGUUGAAGUUGACCAGAUAAUGUAGGUAUGCUACUGUAGCUAACGUCAUUCGACGCCUAGAUGUGUUAUAUAUAGCUUUCUAGCGACAGAUUGUACAUCAUUUUGUAUUCAACUAAAAACAAACAAGGUGACGUUAAGUCAUAGCAACUCGCUAGCUAAGGACAUUUUUGAAUUCUGACGUGUCAGUUGACAAAAGUCAAGAUGAUAGUCACAAGAACGAGAUUAACGUUAGGUGGCAGGGUCUUAUUUUUAGCAGCGGCGCUUACGUCAUUUACCUCAGAAGUAUGCUUAUUUCAACUGAAUUGGCAUCUCGGUAUUAAUUAUAAGCCAAGUAACGUAGCGAAACAAUUUAUUUUAAAGAGUUUGCCAAACAAAAGAUGCGUCUUGUGGCGCACUUGUAGGCCCGACUCAAAAUGGCGAUUAGGGAGAAAUGGAUGUCCUGGGGAUUCAGCGCUGAGAACAGCUGGUGCAGUUAUCUGAAUUCCAAGCUACUGUUAUUUCGAAGAUCAGAAAAUCAGGUUGUAUAAGACGCGUUAUCAAAAGAACCAAGUUACAAUUCAAUGAACGUAUGAAAGAUGGAACGACGUUCCAUUUAUCCGAAGCAGUAUAGUUACUUCAAUGCGUUUAUUUUUUCCGUUUUCCUAAAAUGAACAAUGCGUUACAAGAAAAUAACCAUAUGAAGCCUUGUGAAUACGAAGCUAAUAUGCAAGUUACUAAGAUAAUCUUGUGAAGAAUUGUGACGUCAUAAGAAUAGCCAGCUAAAUGUUUGAAUAGUAGAUGUUGGGCAGCGGUCUCAGGCAGUUUAGCUAACUUCAAGUGGUGUCGCAAGUUGCUCACAUAUCAUGAAGUACAUUUUAUACCGAAUAAGAUUCAGCAAUAGAAGUUGGGUGAAUAUCAGAUGCAUUUAAGCGGUUUUAUUUUAAGCCUAAAAUGACGAACAAGUGGAGCUGCUGAUAGUUGCUUACAUAUGGACAAUCGUUAAAAAAAAGUUAAUGAAGGAAGCAAGUUUCAAGACUAAUACCUUGUGGAAAGCUAUGAUGCCUUUUGAGAAUAGCCAACAACAAAUUGAAGAAUGAAAGUUGGGUGUGGCCCAUUUAUCAGACGUGUUUUACUAACUUCAAGACGUUUUUGUUGUUUUUACUUGACCUGAAGAACAAGUUCUGAUUGUUGUCUACUUGUCAGGGGGAAAAAUCUGUAUAGGUAACCUGAAAGAAAAAAGCUACUAAACUUAACGAUAUGAAACGUGAAUCCUUAUUCAUUUGAAUAGCAAGCAAAGUAUUGGAAGAGAAUUUGGCCUGACGGUGCCUGUAUCAGUCAUUUGAGCUACUUCAAGAAUUAAAUCUUUUAAACAAAAUGAUGAAAAGAUGUGCUGCUGAUUAAGUAUCCAAGUGAAGUGGUCGCAUUAAGAGAACGUGCUGUAAUUCAAGGAAUCACAGGCUCAAAUGUGACCUUGCGUUGUCACGCCUCAGAUUUUAUUAACUUUUUCAAAACAAUUGGCUCUAGCGAAGAAAAGAAGGCUUUUGUUUUUUUCAUGAGGAGAAUGGACUGAGUUUGCGUUGUUGGGGGAAGGACUUAGCUAGUUAGCAGUUUGUGAGGAAGGACUCUUUCAGGAUCAGAGGGAGGAACCAGGCCAAGGGCAAACUGGGAGGACCAGCGGGGAGCCAGGCAGGACCCAGGGGGAUCGAGGGAGGAGCAGAUUGGAGCCAGACGUGGGAAGCAGCCGGGUGUUCAUCAGAGGGAACGAGCCAGAUGGCAGGGUAGCGAGCCUUGCAGUGAGCCGAGAGCGGAGCAGUCCCGGGUCGAGUGUUGCCCUUAGCCAGCCAAUGGGUCCCAGCAGCAAUGAGGCAGACGUGUUAAAGAGCAUACGUGUGAAAGGGUCAACUAGCUUCGCAAGUCACAGGAAAAGCGUUUGGUUUGUAUGAUGGGCAGUGGUAACGUUUAACUAGGCCAAGAGUCUUAUUUAAAAGUCACUUUUUAAAUCUGUCAAGGACACAGUUCUCGCGAAGUUUUGUUUCUUCCUCUUGCAGGUAAUGGUGUGGUAAAGCGUUUAUUUUCCUGGUCACAACCCUUUCCUGUGUGCCUGCGUGUCUGCUGUGAUGAGUCCCCCUUGGCCUUCUUGGUAGAGUGGGCUGGUGAGAGGAGGACCGUCUUAAAAGGAUUUCAGCCUCCUGCAGCACAGAUGUAGUGCCCCCGGGGCGGAGUUUCUCCUGUCAUUGAGUUCAAUAGGUCUGCGCCCCAAGAUGUGGUCUACAUGGGAGUGUGUUGAGUGGGAGGUCUUCUGUACGUCCGUACCACAACGCCCCUUUGGUGCUGAGCAGCUACAUCUGCUGGUUAAAGUGAGCAGUGAGUUUAAAUGCAUGAUAUGAUCACGUGCGGAGUAACUAUUCCCCUAGCUAAAUAUUGAAAUCAAAUUUACAUUUGCCUUCGUAUUGGUAACUAGGGGAUUAUCCCUGAAUUUGUGUUUAGUCUGGUGUUAUUGGUCGAACUGUAGUGCCUUUGUGGAUGGGGGGGGACGUUUUCCGAGUUCUUCUUUUCACAGGCUCGGCCCUUAAAGCAAAGCUGACCAUCCAAGGGAGUCCCUCUUUAGUACUACCUACCACGUUAAUCAAAAAGAGUUGGACGUCAUGUAAACGAUAGUUCUAAGGAUGGAUCAAGUGACACCUCUGGCGUUAAAGUGAUGUAGGAAGAAUUCUUUCACACAGCUUCGUGUAAAGCAGCAUUUAAAGAUCCAAAUGGCUAGCAUUGAGGUUUGGGGAGCAAGGAAUCAACCGGGUGGUCCACAUCUUUCGGUGUCCGUUUUGCCUUGUGGUGUAGAGAUUCCUCGGUGUCUACAAGGGUCUAGCAAGUGGCGGGCCACGUUUUGGGAAGUCGACUCGUAUUCUCCCAGGGAGUGUGGUAAUGGUCACCUUUAGAUUGACACAUUCUAUGUCAUGGAGUAUGAAGUUGCAUUUGGGGGUUUCUGGGGUCAGGGGACUGCUUAAUUGUGACUUUUCCAGAUUAUUAUGUGACCCAACCGUUCAAUGAAAGAACAACUAGAGGUCCACGUCUACCCCCGUGUGUCUUAAGGAGAAACGGUGACGCAGAGGCCAGUGCUAUUUUAAAGUUUUUUCUGUGGAAAGUUAAUGAUUUGGUAUUUCUCCAAAUUCGGAUAUUUUCAUUGUAUAUUAGCAACUGUAAAUACAAUUUGAUACUGUAAUUGUCAUGGUUGGUUACUGUUUGGGUAUGUGUGGGGGGGAAUGGUGGAAGGCUUGUUUUCCCUUCUGCAUUUUUCAGUGUGCUGUGUCCUGCGUUUUCAAUACUCAAGACCAACAGGAACACCCCUAACUCAUUGUAUGUAAAGGUUUUCUAUCACUUCAAAAUGCCUCGCAAGGUCUCAAGUAAGGUCACUUACAAAUGUGUUAACAUUUCCCUUUUUAAUAUUUCAUUAGUUUAACAUUUGGCAACGCAUAAAUUGCACUCUCUUUGCAAAUUAGUUAAUGUUUUGUAUUGAUGCAACAGAGCUAUCUGUAAAGGAUUCAUAAUUGGUAAUAAAUGCAUAGCUUAUUGUGAUUGAAGACAUUUUUGUUAUGCAUUUGUUCUUUGGGGGAAUCUUGUCUGGGGGGCUUUUCUUGUGCUUUUUCAGGUAUGUCUUAGCUUGGUGCUUUUAGAGCAUGGAAGUGACCUGGGCUUGAUGGCAGCUCUUACAUGGUGGAAAGUGAAGGUUUCAGAUAAGUUCAAUCCAGCUCAUAUCCGUGUCUGAAUAUGGGGGAAAAUCAAGAUAUGGAACAUGGCUGUCUGAAUGGUCCUUAUUGUGGCCUCAGUUGAUUAUUCUUGAAUAGAGAAGCAUCUACCUAGCAAUGCAACGUCUCAGCACUACUUGUGAUAUGUAGAAGUUGCACUGCUGUGCUUUCCCUAUGGGUGCAAAUCUCUUCUGUUCCAACAGGAAGAUUUGGUGGAAACCCUUUGCUUUAUAGUUGACAUAAAAUUUACUUUGGCUAUGUGGGUAACAUGUGGGUUCUGGUGAGGGUGGGUAUAGGGGUGUUGUCUGCUUUUGAUCUUGCAGAAUUGCAAAAGCCCUACCGGAGAAUGCCAUCUACCAGUGACGUGACCACAGGAAUCGCACCGUCCUUUGACCUCGUCUCAACACAGGCAGGACAGUUUGAGCACGUUUGUUACAUUCAAGGCCAUUUCUAGCUUUACCUAUUAGAUCUCCUCAGCUACCAGCUCUUGUGCAACUGUUCAAGGACAGUCAGUUGUAUCAUAGUAGCUUUUGAACUGUAAAGCAUUUGGUUUAAUUAUUUUGCAGCAGUCGCGCAACUGUGUGACAGCUUUCCCAAAUGAAGGUAGCUGAGGAACACUGCGCAACUGUGCAGCUGUAAUUUGAACUGAGUGCAGCGCAAAUGUGUUGCUUUUGGAUUGGUAUUUGUUGGGCUUGGGAGGGGAAUUGUGCACUUUUUCUCUACAGAAAUCAGUGAGCCUGGCGCAAGCACGUAUGAUGUCUUCUAACCUGGAACAUGUAGGAAGAUGUUUACCUCUUUCACUAUUCAUUUAAUAAGACCCCUGUCAUGUUUUAGUUUGACUCAAUGGACAUCUUGAACUGGAUUUCUGUUAACCAUAGUCAAGCAAUGCUUUUAGCUGCAUAUACCUCACCCCCUUUGGCCCAGAGCCCUACAGCUUUGCAUCUUUAACUAAGUUAAGAAACGUCAUGUAGGUGUUGUGAGUACUGUGGUGGGAGAAUGUUUGUGUCGACACCUCUUCGUUUCAGAUCAUUCUCUCGUUUCACUGUCCGCUACGAUUGCGCCUCCUGCAUCUGAAUGUAUCAGCCGCCGGGAACUGUCAGCAAAUGAGUGUGCCCCCUGAAUGAAGUACCUACCAUCUCUCCCUCUAUUGGCUUGAGCUUAAAGUCAGCCCCGCCCGAUGUUCUUCACCGUCUCCUCUCCCUCUGUGCUGUUUGUUCCUUUCCUUUACCCCUUUUGGUUUCUCAGGUGACUAUUUCUCAAUCUGAAGUAAAAUGGUCUUGAAUUGGCAUCUGUGAUCCGCCCCGUAACUGCGUAAUGGAACACUGAGAACCCAGUCACUUUCAGAUGAAGAGCCACAAGCUUGUCUUGCUGCUAAUUGAGCAUCUCUUCAGUUUCUUGUUUACUAAGUUAAGUCAUUUUGGUUCCCAUUUGACUUUGAACACACUACGGCUGUGUAAUUCAACCCUUUGUCUGCAUGCACAACAGCUCUACAUAACAUUAAGAUUUUUUUUAAAUGCAUAACCUAAAUGUUCCAUGUAGCUAUUGCGUAAAAUGGGCACAUUCCAGUAGUUUGGGUGGACGCAGGGAGGGUGGGGGGCAACAUUUCUUUCUUUCUUCCUUUCAGAUAUCUCUUGAGUCAACUUCUGUUUCUACGGCGCACUGGGACAGCUCACAGCUGCAGAGUCACAGGAAGUUGGUCUGUCUUGGUUUGAUCCAGUUCUGGGAAGUUGAGUGUCAGUGUGGAGAAACUGUCUGGGUGCGGUUUGUACCGUUUCGUUUCAGGCACGCGACGAAGCUAAAGUCCUCUGGUUCGUGUAGAGCAGCAGGUAGUAAGGGUUUUUCUUUUCCUGGGAGAACAAACCAUUUGGUUUUUGUUCUUCCAGGUUUUGCUUUUUGUCCUUACACAACAAAAAAAGCAAAAGACUCCGGUGGUGGCACUCCUGAUUCCUCAGGAUGGGGUUCAAUUCCCUGCGAAGUCUUUGCUUUUUUCAACCUGCUGCUGAGCCAGGGAAUAGUUAAACAGGGGAACCUAGGUACUUUAAGUUUUACUGCGAUUAUAAAUUAAAGUAUUGAAUAAUCUGUCGUUUAUAGAUGGGUUAGCUGACAACGUCAAUGUGGCUAAAGUUGUGAUUCUGGAUGGCCAAGUGCUACUAACAAUGACAAUCUGCCAUGUCUGACUCAUAAGUGACUUGUUUCUUCUUGAUACCACAUCUUGUUUUGACUGAUGUAAUGUCAAUGCUAGUAUGACAAAUUUGCAUGCUAACCCACUAACAAUGUAUUUAAGACUAGUGCAAAUGUAAUUGUUUUCAAUUAACAUUGGAGACUAAAUAUAUUCGACAUGUCAACAAUCUAAGCCAACCUAGUCUGGUUUGCCCCGUAGUUGCGCAUGGGUUAGUUACAUUGCUGAAAAAUCAACCUGUCUUGAGGCUGUUAACCCAUUAAAUCCCGACUUGUUCCCAGACAUGAAAAUAUCCAUAUCUUGUGUCAUUAGUAAGCCUUUGAAAUAAUCAAUCAUACUUUGUUUUCAUGGAAAAGUAGGUAAAAAUUGUGUUAUGGUUGGUCACAAUUGUGACGUGGGAUAAUGUAAUGUAUACUGAAUUAACAUAUGCAGUCAUGAAAAUGCAUAUAUCCCAGCCCAGUUAUUAACGCAUGUAAAACUCACUGGCAGUCCCCAGCAUUGCUACUAGAAUGCCCCAUCACAUUCUAGUGGGACUAUUUUAACAUAUCGAAAACCUUUAUACAACACCGAUAUGAAUACUGAGAGCAAAAACAAAUCAACGUAUUUCAACAUUGUUACUUUAGUGCAACAUGUAUUGUAACAUUUGAACUUGUGCAACAUUCAUUUUAACAUUGUCAUUGACGUUUUAGUGCAACAUUCACUAACUUUAUAGCAGUUGUGAUUCAUUCACAUUGAACAAAGGUAACAUUUAGGCUAGGUAGCCUGUAGAACAUGCAUUCAAGUAGAGGCCUACACUGAACAAAAUAAUAUAAAUAUAUAUUUUUGGAUUACAGUAUGACAGAUCGUAGUUCAAAAUAGUAAUGCACAAACUAAUCGUGCACUUGGUUCUGAAGCCUACCUCUAUUUAUAUACACUAUUUUGAACUACGAUCAGUCAGAUACUGUAAUACAGUAUGUCUUGACUCAAUUGAUCCUCUGUUCCAAAAACAUUUCAGUCAUUUGUCUUUUUCCAUUUCUUGACUUUUCUUCCUAAAGUCCAUUGUACUGCUUCUCCUCACACUUGAUUGACUUAUUUGCUUUUUCAGCCCUUUUCAUUCUCUCUUCUCGUCUCUUUUUCUGUCCAUGGGGCGGCAGCGUAGCCUAGUGGUUAGAGCGUUGGACUUGUAACAAAGGUUGCAAGAUCGAAUCCCUGAGCUGAGAAGGUAUAAAUCUGUCUUUCUGCCCCUGAACAAGGCAGUUAACCCACUGUUCCUAGGCAGUCAUUGAAAAUAAGAAUUUGUACUUAACUGACUUGCCUAGUUAAAUAAAGGUAAAAUAAAUUUUUCUUUAAAACAUCUUGAAGCACUCAAUGUGGAUAGGUAGUGUGUUUGUCACGACGACGUCUAUGGAACCGGUGCAUCGUGUUGAUUGGCCAGUGAGAGGCUUGUUAUAUCUUGACUGAUCUUCAAUAGUAGCCAGUAGCUCUCCUGUGGUUUCGUGCCAAACUUUUGCAUAAUAGGCUGCCACUAUCCAUGAGAAGCGGAGCAGGAGCAAGAUAUGACAAAGCUCACUGGCCAAUCAACACGACACAUCUCUGUAAA
rnacentral:lncRNA from 1 species